rnacentral:rRNA from 1 species
CUAAAGGUAACGUCAAGGAGGAUGGGUAUUAUCCACCCCUUUUCUUCCCAAUUGAAAGUGCUUUACAACCCGCAGGCCUUCUUCACACACGCGGUAUUGCUGGAUCAGGCUUGCGCCCAUUGUCCAAUAUUCC